rnacentral:misc_RNA from 1 species
CCAAUCAGUGAGCACACGCGUAUAGAAAGUUCCUCUUGUUUCAACGUGCAGAACAUGGCGGACACCACAGCCACCACUCUCAUGGCGGAGCCUACGCUAGAGGAGGCAGCGGCAGCCGUUUUCAGUAAAGAGGAGCUCGCAGCGCUCAAGACCAAUCUACGCUCAGAGCAGAUAGCACAGGCUAAGUACCUGCGCGAUCACCCAGAGAUCCACGAAGCCGUGCAGGAAGCGUUAGCAAGAGUGCUGCAGGCCCAGCCGGAGGACCCGGUGGCCUUUCUCACCCAAUACUUCAUGAGUGAGGAGUUUCUGCACCAGCGACCCCAGUGACGAUGGCGCACCGUCUUUUCUCCAUCAGCCCUUGCACCCUCACCUCUUCGUCGGCCGCUCGCCAACUCGGAAAGUGGCGCGCUUCGUCUCCCUCCCUCCCUCCCUUCUUUCUCUGCAUCGCUUGACAGCCCGCGUUUGCCGUUGCCUUCUUUUCUUAUACAGCAUGUACCGUAGCCCCCCCCACCGGCCACCACCACCACUGUUUGACAAUGAGAGGCAUCUACUCUCUUCCACUCCACCAAACAGUCAGCAAUGACGACCACUACAUGGGCAAGCUCACGAUAUCAGGCGAGCAGGGAAACCACUUCACGGCCGUGCCGCACGGUGGCCUCCCAUACCCCUCUCUGGCACUCCUCUCCUGUCAUCUCCAAAGAAUAAGUCUGUGUGUGUGUGUGAGUGUGUGCUCCGCGGGGUUUUCGCAGAGGAUGGAGGCUGUGUGGCGUUCGUGGGGAGGGGUUGGUGAAGGGAUGGCCACCCCUCCUCUCAUCACAGCUGCAUGGCGUGUUUCCACGGCGUAUCUCCUCGCCCUGUCUUUUUGUGGUUAGUGUCGCUGCCUUUCUACAUCUCAGGGCUGCCGCUGCUGCCCUCUCCUCCCUCCCUCCCCCACCUCAGCGCCGCCAUCGCAGCCACUUCAUGCCCAAUAUCAUCUCUUCUUCUCUCACGCUCUUCGUCUCGCUACUCCAUCUCAAG